rnacentral:rRNA from 1 species
UACGUAGGGUGCAAGCGUUAAUCGGAAUUACUGGGCGUAAAGCGUGCGCAGGCGGCUUUGCAAGACAGAUGUGAAAUCCCCGGGCUUAACCUGGGAACUGCAUUUGUGACUGCAUGGCUGGAGUGCGGCAGAGGGGAUGGAAUUCCGCGUGUAGCAGUGAAAUGCGUAGAUAUGCGGAGGAACACCGAUGGCGAAGGCAAUCCCCGUGGGCCUGCACUGACGCUCAUGCACGAAAGCGUGGGGAGCAAACAGG